rnacentral:rRNA from 1 species
CGGCGCCACGAGUGGUGAUCAUUUUUAUUGGGCCUAAAGCGUUCGUAGCCGGUUUGAUAAAUCUUCUGUGAAAUUGUCAAGCUUAACUUGACAGCGUGCAGAAGACACUAUUAAACUUGGAACCGGGAGGAGUCAGAGGUAUUCUUUGGGGAGCGGUAAAAUGCUGUAAUCCAAAGAAGACUAACUGUGGCGAAGGCGUCUGACUAGAACGGAUUCGACGGUGAUUGGACGAAAGUCAAGGGAGCAAUCCGGAUUAGAUACCCGAGUAGUCC